rnacentral:lncRNA from 1 species
GUCCAAUUAUACAGUCCAAAAAUAGAAAACUACGAAAAUAUAAAUCCUAGUCUAAACUAAAUCUAGACUAAGCUCCCAUGCCUUACCCGAUGCCGCGGGCCUUCAUCACGAUCAUUUUCCGCCAACAUGAUAGGUCGGGGUAUUCCCCGGUGAAUAAGUACAAAAGUCCUCGGGGCAUUCCCCGGCUAAAUGAAUACAUUUGCGUCGAAUGGGAUAAAGUAGAAAACAUUCAACACAUACUCCACAUUCGAACAUCCAACGAAACACUUAUUUCUAAAUUUUGCCUACCCGACCCUACGAUCGCCUACCCACAUGACCUAUCAUGAUACUAUCCAAUUCGACAAUAGUCAAUAGUGAAUCAAAACAAACAACCUUCAACUUAUUUGAUUAUCAAAUUUUUCAAUCCCGACCCCCAAAUCAACAAGUUUAAUCCUCAAGUCAUGGUUAACAAAUUUUUCGAUUAUCAAACACUUUUUAAAAAUCUAAAAUCAACUUCAAACAUAUACAUCCAACGAAGAUUCGAACUUAGGCAUACAAGUCAUCCACAACAACAAUUAAUAUUUUUUGCUCAAAAUAUUCACAGCCACACCACAAACUUAUGACAUUAACCAAUUUCAAGAUAAAAGAGUAGAGUCAAGAGAUGGACCUUCGAAGAACAGAUUUGUUGAUAAUAAUAAUGUUUAAGAGAACCCGGACUUGGAAUCCUGAAUAGAGAACCUCAACGACGAACCAAAUCCAAACUCGGUAGCACAAAAAUAGAAACUCCAAACUAACCAUGAUGAACCGAUCGAGACAAAACAGGAAACAAAUCCUUGAACCAGUAUGAAGGCCGAUGAACGAACAUAGAAAAAUCGUAACUCGAAGAAUAAUCAACCAAAACCCCCGUAAGGAAAACCUGAAACGAAACCCAAAUCACUCAUUUCAAACUAAGCUUACGCAGCUUACCGGAAUCGAGGUUGGAUUAUCCUUUUUUCUACCACGUCGGAGCUCCGGCAGACCUGAAAGUCAACAAAAUAGUUUUUUCUGGCUAGAUUUCACUGGAGAAAAACGGAAACAGUUAGCUUCGUCCAUUCUCUUUCUCUCUCUCCUUUACUCUCUCUGUUACUCUCUCUCUUCGUCACUGCUGGUCGGAUUCUCGCCGGAGAAAAACAAAAAUAGUUAGCUCCAUCCGUUCUCUCUCUCUCUCCGUCACUCUCUCUGGUACUCUCUCUCCCCAUUUCUGCUGGUCGGAUUCUCGCCAGAGAAAAACAGAAAACAGUUAGCUCCGUUCGUUCUCUCUCUCUCUCUCUCUGUUACUCUCUCUCCUCGUUUCUGUUGUUUUUCGGUGAGCUGUGAAGGAAGCGAGCUAAUGAAAAGUAUCGAAAUCCAGUGACUGGGUCGCGGGAACAGUGACCCAAAAUCAAAAAUGACUAUCCCUCCAUUUUUUUGUCUGUGUAUCGUGUGUGUAACGUGAAUGGUGAGGGGGAGUGUAAAACGGAAGAAAAAAAGAGGAAGAUGAGUGUGUACUGUCUAUGCUAAUGGCGUGCUCCGUUUUUUUGGAGAAGAAAGGCAAAACAAUUUUUGAGAUGUGCUCCCCCUUUUUGGUUACUGAUGGUGCCUUUUUGUUGUUACUGUUCCUUGCCAAAAAAAUCUUCUUCUUGGAUAUGUGUGUAUCCGUGCAUAUAUUGUGAGGUGGGUGGGGUAGGGUAGGUAAGGUAGGGUAAGUGGGGUAGGGUAUGGGGCAUGGGGUAGUGAUGUGUUGUCCAAAA